GGCGAGUGGCGAACGGGUGAGUAAUACAUCGGAACGUGUCCAGUUGUGGGGGAUAGCCCGGCGAAAGCCGGAUUAAUACCGCAUACGACCUACGGGUGAAAGCGGGGGAUCGCAAGACCUCGCGCAAUUGGAGUGGCCGAUGUCAGAUUAGCUAGUUGGUGGGGUAAGAGCCUACCAAGGCGACGAUCUGUAGCUGGUCUGAGAGGACGACCAGCCACACUGGGACUGAGACACGGCCCAGACUCCUACGGGAGGCAGCAGUGGGGAAUUUUGGACAAUGGGCGCAAGCCUGAUCCAGCCAUGCCGCGUGUGGGAAGAAGGCCUUCGGGUUGUAAACCACUUUUGUCAGGGAAGAAACGGUCUGAUCUAAUAAAUCGGACUAAUGACGGUACCUGAAGAAUAAGCACCGGCUAACUACGUGCCAGCAGCCGCGGUAAUACGUAGGGUGCGAGCGUUAAUCGGAAUUACUGGGCGUAAAGCGUGCGCAGGCGGCUCUGCAAGACAGAUGUGAAAUCCCCGGGCUCAACCUGGGAACUGCAUUUGUGA
rnacentral:rRNA from 1 species